GGAAAACCUCGGAUCGGGGAAAUGUUCCCAUUCCUCGUAAAAAACCCAAGUCAAUGUGUAACGCAUCAACGCAAACUGAUGAUGUUUUGACUACUACAUCAACGCAAACUGAUGAUGUUUUGAUUACUCCAAUAAUUCCUGGAAAAAAGAAGAUGAAGAAGAAAAAGAAGGACCGGCUAAACAUCCAGAAAAAGAAAAAGAAAGUAAAGUUAAUAAUGAUG